GUUUCACCUCUUCAGAGGAAGAGGAGGAAAUCUGCCGUGACAGAGUCAAAUAUUUACACAGAUACCGGAACUUGUGAAUUCAAUUGAGACUAACAGAGCCGAGCCCUUCCAUGGAAAAUACUAAAUUCUUAUAUUACAGAGUCCUGCCUUAAAAGUAUUCUGUCUUUUCAUAACAUAUAGAGUCCCCUCCCUCUAUAUGAAAAUAGCUUCCCUUGACCUUUCUCUACCAUUAUCUUUCCAUCUCAGUUCUUGCUUGUUAACGCCCACAUCUGACAGCCGUAUAUGUUAUAAUGGUAGCGGGGCCCUGGUCCUAUAUGUUCCAUUCCUUAUUCUGUCUCAGCUCUUCAAAGUGGACAGCCUAGAUGCUGCUAAUAACGCAAAUGUAAUCAUAGUCAUGAGUUUUGCUCCCACAAUACCCCAAAAAACUUGUCUGGGACAGCGAAACCAGGGCCAAAACCACGUAGCGUACACCCGACUUAAAACAGGCUCAAAAGUCCUCCCUCUGGACCAGCGAUCACUCGCAUGUUCCACACCACCUAUAAAACACAAUGACUUGAGCAGAGAAAGAAAAUGCGUGUUAAUAAUUUCACACCACCCUUGAUGAGAAUUAGUUUGGGGCAAGGACCACCUACCCGAUUUGUUCCAAGCCAAUGGGAUGUUAGAUCUUCUGCUGGGCUCUGUGAAAAUGGGACUCUAUUGGUUUCCCUCACACGUUACCCCAGACUUCCCUUCAGAUCAUUAGAGAGAACACACUCGCUCCCUCUCCUUCGUCCUCGUACUUGGGUGUCAUAGCAAACUACGAGUUUUGUAAUUACUUAAUUGCACCAUGUAGUCCGGAAAGCCAUACGUAUGGCUUUAACAUUAAGGAUUUGAUGGCAUGGUAAAAUAAGGCCCCUUCCAUUAAGAUAACAAUUUUGUCUAGCAUUGCCCAAGCUGUAUAUUCAACUAUCCACAUAAUUUGUCCCUUAGUCCAUGACCAUGUGGUUACUACUGCAUCUCGAACAGAUUUGGCUAUCCCUUUUACACUUCCACCCUCCACAACUGCAGUCACUAUCAAUGACACGGUGAAUCUAUUCACGCUGCUAGUCGAAACUCGUAAUGAAUUCAAUUUGAGUGACAUUCACUUCCCUUAUAGGUUUGUCAUUCACCACUAGUGCCUUGGUGAACACUUCACCAUGGUUGGAAGGUGCUGUUAUCGCCUGUUCACCCGUGUCUGAGUCUAACACCCCAUAAGAUUGUUUAUCUGCUUCUAGGCUCUUCCAUUAGAUAACCGUCUGUUCCAAAAUGAUGCUGCCAGUAGUGUUUUGCUCGCACAUAUUGGUCAAUUUAGGGGCUCGUAAGGGGAUUGUUUAGCGGCUCGUAAGUAAGCAUUUCACUGUAACGACUACACCUGUUGUAUUCGGUGCAUGUGACUAAUGAUUUGAUUUGAUCAACGAGUUUCACUACUACGUUUUGUUAGCGUAUUGCUCGGUUAACAUGUUUCUUAGAGUUGUGUUAUCCCAGCACAGAAUUUUAUUGGGUAGGAGAAGCUUUCCCCCCCCAAAGAGAGUCUGUGUUUCCAUCUUUAACUUGAUACACUAUCGGCAUUUGGGGAACAAACAUUCUUUUGACUACUCAGCCCUGAGCUACUUUCAGAAGGCUGAACAUCUAUGACUUGUCUGGGGUGGGUUUCCUGCUCCCUUCUCUCGAGGAGGAUGUGAAAGCAUAUGGUUUCAAGAGUGUCAUUUUCACCGCUUCCUCCACACUAGGGCGGUGUUGCCGCAGGUACAGUAGGAGGGACGGUCUCAUCUAGUUCUUCAGACAUGAAGUGCCGUUCUGCUCUCUCCAGAUCCAUUUCUGCAACACAACGACUCCGCCCGGGGCAGAACCCACCCUCGGAGUACUGGGCUGCGUGGUUUGAUAAGGGUCGGCCUGACAUCCUCAUCUCAGAGUCUACCUACGCCACAACCUCCCGUGACUCAGGGGAAGGGACUUCCUGAAGAAAGUACAUGAGACAGUGGAGAGAGGAGGAAAGGUUCUGAUACCAGUCUUUGCCCUGGGAAGAGCUCAGGAACUGUGCAUUCUAUUGGAAACAUUCUGGGGAGCGGAUGAACAUGAAGGCCCCCCAUCUACUUCUCCACAGGGCUCACAGAGAAAGCCAAUCACCUCUACAAACUCUUCAUCACCUGGACCGAUCAGAAAACCCUUUGAACAGAGAAACACGUUUGAGUUCAAACACAUCAAGGCCUUUGAUCGCUCCUACGCAGACAACCAAGGACCAAUGGGGCAGAAACAUCAUAUUUUUGUGGAGUACAUGUCGUUCAGCGCCCAUGCAGACGCUAAGGGCAUCAUGCAGCUCUUCCGCAUGGCAGAGUCUCGCAACAUGCUGCUGGUGCACGGAGAGGCCAGCCAAGAAGAUGGAGUUCUUCAAGUUCUUCAAGAUCGAGCAGUUCAGGGAGUGACACCAGGAUGUCCUUGUAACCCUAACUGUAUCAAGAAUGCCAGGGGUUUAGAGAAAAGGAAUUGCAGUGUGUGCCACAUGUUUGAGGAGCUCUGGGUAGUUUUUAGUAGUAGGGCACAGCAAAAUGUUUUGCAACAGAAAACAACAGUCUUCUUAUUAGACAAGUUCACAUUUCGCAGUGGGGAGAAAAAGGUUUUCUCCCCACUGAACAGCCCGGGUAUUAUCCAUUUAUUUUGAUCAGUGUUCAUUGUUUGUGGAUUUGUAAAAAGUUAUUUAAUACAGUCGAUGCACUGAAAUGAAACGUCCGAAAAUUGGAUUAUAGUGAUGUUUGUGAGAUCAGACAUAAUAAUGUAAAAUAUGUUUAGAUAGGUGUAACCUAGAGCCACGUGUGUUGAAUUUUAAUCUGAGGGUAUCCUGUUAUUGACACACUUGUUGAAUUAUGCAAGAGAAUGUGACAACUAAUUAAUGAGGCAGUCUAGACCGCACAUGCGAGUGCAGGUAGUGUAGACAGAGCAAAUGUUGUUUGGUGUUUGUAGCCAUGUCCCUCCCCUUUAUGUUAAUUUAUUCAUAUAUGCAAAGGAACCAAUGUAUUUAUUCAGAUGAGACACAAAUAUCCUGAUUUUUAACAAACACACAAUAAAGACCUGAUUCAAUAAGAUAAAGUAUACAUGAGUGCAUUCUAAGACAAAAAGAAGUGACAUUUGGGUAUUGAAUACCUGAAUUCCCACCCGAAUCACUGAAUUCCAUUCAUUAUUUGUACUUACCAGUCAAAUGUUUUAUGUGCUAGAAUUCAGUCGAUAUCUGACAAAUGACAAAAAUUUGAAUAGUUUGGAGUAUCUUCAUGCAUUGUCCAAGAAUGUUGCAUUUAUUACAAUUGUUUUUAAAACCUUAACAAUUUAGAUGACCAGUUGCUAGUGUUUGUAAUUCAGGGUGUUUUAUUCUCUGCCUUUGGCCUUGCAAGUUUUUGUCCUAUUAUUGCCCUUGGUUCACUUCUCCCCCAUUUGUUCCCCUGCUCUCCCUGGGUGUAGAGUCUUCGGCUGGUCUCUCCAGAGCAAGCUCUUAAUGAGCUGGGCCUCAACGUGCACCAGCUCCACUUCACUUGCCGAGUGCAGCCCCACGACACUCACAGUGACCCCGACACCCCCAUCAGGAUCCACACACACCUCAAUAGUCUACUGAAAGGUUACACCAUCCAGCACCUCCCAGGCUCUUCAGCUGAAGAGCUAUCAGGAUGAAGAUCUGGGGAGCUUUCUGUCUACUCUGCUGAAGAAAGGACUUCCAUCGCGAUUGUCUUCAAUAUGAUCCCAUUGUUCAGUGUAGCUUUCUGUAAAGGUUCGUAUGUCUAUUGUACAAAGCUUGAAUACAUACAGUUGAAGUCGGAAGUUUACAUACACUUAUGUUGGAGUCAUUAAAACUCGUUGUUCAACCACUCCACAAAUGUCUUGUUAACAAACUAUAGUUUUGGCAAGUCGGUUAGGACAUCUCCUUUGUGCUUCUGACCCACUGGGAAUGUGAUGAAAGAAAAUCUGAAAUAAAUCAUUCUCUCUACUAUUAUUCUGACAGUUCACAUUCUUAAAAUAAAGUGGUGAUCCUAACUGACCUAAGACAGGGAAUUUUACUAGGAUUAAAUGUCAUGAAUUGUGAAAAACUGAGUUUAAAUGUAUUUGGCUAAGGUGUAUGUAAACUUCCAACUUCAACUCUACAUGUUUGCAAAGGUUGGUGGUUUACGAUGGCUUCAGAGUUUGUGAGUAGAAUAUAAAAAGCAUACAAUUACAUUAGCUGAUUGGAUACAGUUGGAGCUAGUGUAUCCAAACCAUUCACUGUCCCACAGCAAUGGUAUAGAGCCCCCUAUUCCUCCUGGCCCAAAUCCAUCUGAACCUGGCCAUGGAGGGACUCCACUUACAGCGACUAGUGGUGAAGUAGUAGAGCAGGGGGUCCAGACAGCUGUUGAGGCUGACCAGAGCCAGAGUCACCUGCCGGGCAUUGUAGAUGGCAUUGGCAUAGGGACAGUGAUGGAUGGCCCCUUGACGGCGGAGCAGGUGCAGGAAGUGAACCACAUGGUACGGCAGGAAGCAGAGCAGGGUGAUAGCCAGGAUGGUGUAGAUGACCCUCAGGGCUCCGCGGGCCGUGUUGGUCCGGAUGAGAGCGAUGCGCCGUGCCACCAGAGGGUAACACACCAGGAUGACCACAGAGGGCAGUAGCGAGCCGAAGACGAGACUGAAUAAGCUGUACGGCGCCACACGCCUGUCCCACUCGUGCUUUGAAAAGUUCUCAAAGCAGCUACGGCGCUGGGGGCGACCUUCGCCAGGUUUGCUGUCCAGAGGUCCCACUCGGAUGAAGGACAGAACAGCCACCCCCGCCACCACCCACACCGCCACACUCACCACUACAGUAUAACAUGAGUUCCGGAGCCUCAGAUAGA